rnacentral:rRNA from 1 species
ACAGAACCAACACGCUCCUUUUUGGGGGUGUCAAAGUUAGGUGAUUCAUAGUAACCGAACGGAUCGCAUUAUGAUCAUAUUAUUAUGAUUGGCGAUAGAUCAUUCAAGUUUCUGACCUAUCAGCUUUCGACGGUAGUGUAUUGGACUACCGUGGCAGUGACGGGUAACGGGGAAUUAGGGUU